AUAGCGUAUAUUAAAGUUGUUGCAGUUAAAAAGCUCGUAGUUGAACCUUGGGUCUGGCUGGCAGGUCCGCCUCACCGCGUGUACUUGUCCGGCCGGGCCUUCCUUCUGGAGAACCUCAUGCCCUUCACUGGGCGUGUUGGGGACCAGGACUUUUACUUUGAAAAAAUUAGAGUGUUCAAAGCAGGCCUUUGCUCGAAUACGUUAGCAUGGAAUAAUAGAAUAGGACGUGCGGUCCUAUUUUGUUGGUUUCUAGGACCGCCGAAAUGAUUAAUAGGGACAGUCGGGGGCAUCAGUAUUCAAUUGUCAGAGGUGAAAUUCUUGGAUUUAUUGAAGACUAACUACUG
rnacentral:rRNA from 1 species